rnacentral:rRNA from 1 species
CCUACGGGAGGCAGCAGUGGGGAAUAUUGCACAAUGGGGGAAACCCUGAUGCAGCGACGCCGCGUGAGCGAAGAAGUAUUUCGGUAUGUAAAGCUCUAUCAGCAGGGAAGAAGAAAUGACGGUACCUGACUAAGAAGCACCGGCUAAAUACGUGCCAGCA